UACGUAGGGUGCGAGCGUUGUCCGGAAUUACUGGGCGUAAAGAGCUCGUAGGUGGUUUUGUCGCGUUGUUCGUGAAAUUCCCUGGCUUAACUGGGGGCGUGCGGGCGAUACGGGCAGACUGGAGUACUGCAGGGGAGACUGGAAUUCCUGGUGUAGCGGUGGAAUGCGCAGAUAUCAGGAGGAACACCGGUGGCGAAGGCGGGUCUCUGGGCAGUAACUGACGCUGAGGAGCGAAAGCGUGGGGAGCGAACAGG
rnacentral:rRNA from 1 species